AGUGAACGCUGGCGGUAGGCCUAACAUAUGCAAGUCGAACGGCAGCACAGUAAGAGCUUGCUCUUACGGGUGUCGAGUGGCGGACGGGUGAGUAAUACAUCGGAAUCUACUUUUUCGUGGGGGAUAACGUAGGGAAACUUACGCUAAUACCGCAUACGACCUACGGGUGAAAGCAGGGGAUCUUCUGACCUUGCGCGAUUGAAUGAGCCUAUGUCGGAUUAGCUAGUUGGCGGGGUAAAGGCCCACCAAGGCGACGAUCCGUAGCUGGUCUGAGAGGAUGAUCAGACACACUGGAACUGAGACACGGUCCAGACUCCUACGGGAGGCAGCAGUGGGGAAUAUUGGACAAGGGGCGAAAGCCUGAUCCAGGCAUACCGCGUGGGUGAAGAAGGCCUUCGGGUUGUAAAGCCCUUUUGUUGGGAAAGAAAAGCAGCAGGUUAAUACCCCGCUGUUCUGACGGUACCCAAAGAAUAAGCACCGGCUAACUUCGUG
rnacentral:rRNA from 1 species